CGCUGGCGGCGUGCUUAACACAUGCAAGUCGAACGGAGUGCCUCGGAAAGAGAUUUCGGUCAAUGGAAGAGGUUACUUAGUGGCGGACGGGUGAGUAACGCGUGAGGAACCUGCCUUUCAGAGGGGGACAACAGUUGGAAACGACUGCUAAUACCGCAUAACAUAUGUUUGUCGCAUGGCAGAUAUAUCAAAGAUUUAUCGCUGAGAGAUGGCCUCGCGUCUGAUUAGCUGGUUGGUAGGGUAACGGCCUACCAAGGCGACGAUCAGUAGCCGGACUGAGAGGUUGGCCGGCCACAUUGGGACUGAGAUACGGCCCAGACUCCUACGGGAGGCAGCAGUGGGGAAUAUUGGGCAAUGGGCGCAAGCCUGACCCAGCAACGCCGCGUGAAGGAAGAAGGCUUUCGGGUUGUAAACUUCUUUUAAGAGGGAAGAGCAGAAGACGGUACCUCUUGAAUAAGCUCCGGCUAACUACGUGCCAGCAGCCGCGGUAAUACGUAGGGAGCGAGCGUUGUCCGGAUUUACUGGGUGUAAAGGGCGUGCAGCCGGGAGUACAAGUCAGAUGUGAAAUCCCGCGGCUCAACCGCGGAACUGCAUUUGAAACUGUAUUUCUUGAGUACUGGAGAGGCAGACGGAAUUCCUAGUGUAGCGGUGAAAUGCGUAGAUAUUAGGAGGAACACCAGUGGCGAAAGGCGGUCUGCUGGACAGCAACUGACGGUGAGGCGCGAAAGCGUGGGG
rnacentral:rRNA from 1 species